CGGUCACAUAACGUUGAAAUGUCAGUUCUCGUAAGAUCCCCAAAGUUAAGCAACGUCGAGCCUGGUUAGUACCUUGAUGGGUGACCGCUUGGAAAUAACGGGUGCUAUAA